AAGUGAGAGAGGAAUACAAAUGAAAAUGAAGAAAAUAACACUAGCUUUUCUUCUUCUAACUCUACUUCAUAUAUUUCUAUGUCUAUCUUUUCAGGUUUCUGUCACAGAGGCUCGAUUCCGUCACCUAGUUGGGGUAGGGGUACGCGCAUUCCCCUCCAUACCAUGUGGAGAUGCUCCUAGGGCAAGUCAUGUUACGCUUGCAGGGCAAUAUAAAAAGGCUUGUAAAAGAGCUAAAAGAGCUCCAAGAAGACCUCCUCUCGUGUAGGUUCGCGAUUAAUAUGAAUUAUCACAGUCACGUUCAACCCCCUCAUCGACACCAGCCAUCCACUCGCAACACAAUUACCUUUCACUAUGGUUUCCUAAGUUUCAAUAAUUCUAGCUCCAGUUUUUUUUUCUUGUUUUUUCUCCAUUUUUACCCUACUCCUCUCCUCUACUCUACUCUAUUACUUAAAGUGCUCCAUGUAAAAUGGGUGUUUGUUCUCACCAUCCUCUAGCACGAUAAUAAAUCUGUAUUUGCUUGGAUUAUCAUAUUUGACUUUUGCAUGAGUAUUCUUGUUUGAUCUAAUAAGGUUUUCUCUUUAA